GUUUUAGUAGUUUAAAUAAAAACACUGGUCUUGUAAACCAAUAUUAAGUAUUUACUUCUAAAACU
rnacentral:tRNA from 1 species